GGCCCGGUAGUCUAGUUGGCCGAGGACGCCGCCCUCUCAAGGCGGAGAUCACGGGUUCGAAUCCCGUCCGGGCUACCA
rnacentral:tRNA from 2 species